rnacentral:rRNA from 1 species
GACGAACGCUGGCUGCGUGCUUAACACAUGCAAGUCGAACGGAAAGGCCCUGCUAUUGUGGGGUGCUCGAGUGGCGCACGGGUGCGUAACACGAGAGUAUACCGCCCUUGCCUUUGAGAUAACUUCAGCAAACUGGGGGUAAUACCAGAUCGGAGCUCCUGCUGCCUGGUGGGGGUUAGAAAGAUUCGGCUGUUGGGGACUGACUCGCGGCUUAUCUGCUUGAUGGUGGGGUAGUGGCUUACGAAGGCUUAGGCGGGUAGGCGGCCUGAGAGGGUGACCGGGUACAUGGGGACUGAGAUACGGCCCGGAGUCGUACGGGAGGCAGCUGUGGGGAAGAGUGCACAAUGGGCGCAAGUCUGGUGCAGCAAGACCGCGUUCGGGAUUAUGGCCUUCGGGUAUUAAACAACUUUGGCCGGUAAGUAAGCGUUAUUGACGGUAACGUAUAAAGAAGCACCGGCUAACUACGUG